rnacentral:misc_RNA from 1 species
AAGUCGUAACAAGGUUUCCGUAGGUGAACCUGCGGAAGGAUCAUUACUGAAGCAAAGAAAAGUUGUAGCUGCCUUGUAAAAGGAUGUGCACAUUUUUCAAUCUUCUUCUCAACCACCUGUGAACCUUUGGUGAACUUGUAAUUGACUUUUCACUGAAAAUUGUGGAUAGAGAGCUUGCUAACUGCUUGCUUUCAAUAAAUUACAGUUUACCCAUUUAUACACACUUUUAAAAACCAUUGAAUGUAUUAUGUUUGGUUAUAAUGACCUAUAACAAUUUAAAUACAACUUUCAGCAACGGAUCUCUUGGCUCUC